rnacentral:rRNA from 1 species
GACGAACGCUGGCGGCGUGCUUAACACAUGCAAGUCGAACGGAAAGGCCCUGCUUUUGUGGGGUGCUCGAGUGGCGAACGGGUGAGUAACACGUGAGUAACCUGCCCUUGACUUUGGGAUAACUUCAGGAAACGGGGGCUAAUACCGGAUAGGAGCUCCUGCUGCAUGGUGGGGGGUGGGAAGUUUCGGCGGUUGGGGAUGGACUGGCGGCUUAUCAGCUUGUUGGUGGGGUAGUGGCUUACCAAGGCUUUGACGGGUAGCCGGCCUGAGGGGGUGACCGGCCACAUUGGGACUGGGAUACGGCCCAGACUCGUACGGGAGGCAGAAGUGGGGAAUAUUGCAGAAUGGGCGGAAGCCUGAUGCAGCAACGCCGCGUGCGGGAUGACGGCCUUCGGGUUGUAAACCGCUUUCGCCUGUGACGAAGCGUGAGUGACGGUAAUGGGUAAAGAAGCACCGGCUAACUACGUG